GACGAACGCUGGCGGCGUGCUUAACACAUGCAAGUCGAACGGAAAGGCCCUGCUUUUGUGGGGUGCUCGAGUGGCGAACGGGUGAGUAACACGUGAGUAUCCUGCCCUUGACUUUGGGAUAACUUCAGGAAACUGGGGCUAAUACCGGAUAGGAGCUACUGCUGCAUGGUGGGGGUUGGAAAGUUUCGGCGGUUGGGGAUGGACUCGCGGCUUAUCAGCUUGUUUGUGGGGUAGUGGCUUACCAAGGCUUUGACGGGUAGCCGGCCUGGGAGGGUGACCGGCCACAUUGCGACUGAGAUACGGCCCAGACUCCUACGGGAGGCAGCAGUCGAGAAUAUGGCACAAUGGGCGGAAGCCUGAUGCAGCAACGCCGCGUGCGGGAUAACGGCCUUCGGGUUGUAAACCGCUUUCUCCUGUGACGAAGCGUGAGUGACGGUAAUGGGUAAAGAAGCACCGGCUAACUACGUG
rnacentral:rRNA from 1 species